AUGAAAUACAGAAAAGACUCAACUAAGUGUGUCACAGUAAGAGAGCAGGGCAGCUCUAUGGGCCACCCUAACUCUAUGUUGCAGAAGUCUCAAAUCCUCCUUGAAGCGAGCAAACCAGGAUGCAAUGCUUGGGGCAAUACCUCUGAAGUGCUUGUUAUUUCUUUCCUUCCACAAGCUCCAGGCAGCAGUGUAGAAUACUUCGACAAAGAAGGGAUUGGGCCAAUCCGUUUGCGCGUUGUGGAGCGCGGUGAACCUAUCUUGAAAAUCAUGCCAGUACAAUGUGCAGCUUGGCCCAGCACCUCCCACUGA
rnacentral:rRNA from 1 species